rnacentral:SRP_RNA from 1 species
GCCAGGGAUGGUUGUGGACACCUGGAAUCCCUGCUGCUGGGGAGGCUGAGGCUGGUGGAUUGAGUUCUGAGCUGCGGUAUGGCUAAAGACGAUCAGGUAUAUACACUAAGUCUGGCAUCAAUAUGGCGAGUCUUCAGUGGGGGCUACCAAGCUGCCUCAGGAGGGGCAAACCUGCUCAGGUCAGAAACAGAACAGGUCAAAGCUUCUGUAACAAUCAGCAGUAGGAUUGGGCCUAGGGAUGGCUGCUGUAUUUUCAGCUAGAGCCAGAU